CACUCAUUGACUUACUAGUUAUAUACCGGAUAUACAUAGAUUACGUUCGUUGAAAUCUAAAUGGUUCCUACGUACACGGGUAUAGCGAACGAGUUGGGAAAGAAGUGCAAAAGAUACAAGAGGGACACCCAAACUCACAGAGUCAAAAAUAAACUGACAACGCUAUUGCCAAAAUAAAAUGACGAACAGACAAGUACACAAGACACAACAUACCCACCAUAAGAAGGACCAAAAGGAGAGGUCCAAACAAAGAACAUUUACAAUGUCUACAAUAGGAAAC
rnacentral:lncRNA from 1 species